rnacentral:misc_RNA from 1 species
AUUUUGGCUGCUUCAAUAGUGGCUUCAGCACCUUUAGAUGCUGAUGCUACCAGAAUUGAAUACUAUGCCACUACUGCUGAACCCACUUGUGAGUUCAAUUUUGUCCGUUCUGGACUUGGGUAUUGUGACAUUGCUGUUGGGUCUGGUGAAGAGGCUCCAUAUAAUAAGCUCGUUAAUAUUCACUAUACUGCAAGGUUUGGGGAUGGUAUAGUUUUUGACAGCAGCUAUAAACGUGGUCGAGCCCUUACCAUGCGCCUCGGCAUGGGCAAGGUGAUCAAGGGAUUAGAUCAGGGAAUCUUGGGAGGUGAAGGGGUACCACCAAUGCUAGUUGGUGGAAAACGUAAGCUUCAGAUUCCUCCACAUUUGGCAUAUGGACCAG